rnacentral:rRNA from 1 species
AGCGAACGCUGGCGGCAGGCUUAACACAUGCAAGUCGAACGCCCCGCAAGGGGAGUGGCAGACGGGUGAGUAACACGUGGGAACGUACCCUUUGGUUCGGAAUAACUUGGGGAAACUCAAGCUAAUACCGGAUAAGCCCUUAUGGGGAAAGGUUUACUGCCGAAGGAUCGGCCCGCGUCUGAUUAGCUAGUUGGUGAGGUAAUGGCUCACCAAGGGGACGAUCAGUAGCUGGUCUGAGAGGAUGAUCAGCAACACUGGGACUGAGACACGGCCCAGACUCCUACGGGAGGCAGCAGUGGGGAACAUUGGACAAUGGGGGCAACCCUGAUCCAGCCAUGCCGCGUGAGUGAUGAAGGCCUUAGGGUUGUAAAGCUCUUUUACCCGGGACGAUAAUGACUGUACCGGGAGAAUAAGCCCCGGCUAACUUCGUGCCAGCAGCCGCCGUAA